rnacentral:lncRNA from 1 species
CUGGUGUAACAAAUAAUUUUAUUUGCAUAACAAGAAGAACCAAUUUUUGGAGUACAUCAUAAAUAUCUAUAAAUACUAUGAACCUUUGAGACAAUCCAAAUAAAUAAAUAAAUAUUGUCAUUUUAAAAAUACAUAUCGGGUUGGUAUGUACGAAGGUAUGAUUAGGUGUGAUCAAUUGAGUUAGAUGUUUCAUGUUCCUUUGAUUUUACAUGGGCAGUGCCAGAUAGCCAAAAUGCAUACUAGACACUAUCCCAUAAUGCAAUUUGACAGGUACAAGUAAAGUAUAAAUAGUUGUUGCUUAAUGAUACCUCUUACUACCAUUUUCUGAAUUUUAGCAAUCCCUGGAUGCAUAAAGUACUUUAUGGUUUAUUUAUUAAAGAUUUUUAUGGUCCGUGGAUACUUCUGUAGUUUUUUUGGCCACAAGGUGCAUGGGAUGUAAAAAGCCCAGUAUAUAGGGCCUAUUUUUGGUUGAUCCAUAAAAUGUCCCUAAAUUCAGUUUGGAUGAUAUGUAAAAUUUCUCAAUAGGAAAUACCAUGCACCUUUUCGCAAAACUACUUGAAAUUAGAAACACUGAUUUUAUGUCUAUUGGUCUAAGUGCAAAUAAAAGAGAGGUGAAUGUGCUUUGGAAAUUAUUUUUACAAAAGAAAACAAUAAUUAAUGAUCUAUAGCAGGAGUGUACAAUUUUGGCAUGGGACUAUGGGAAAUGUAGUCCUACAAAGAGUUGGAGGACCACGUUUGGAUACCCCUUAUUGAUAUUAUAAAAUGGCAAUUGUAAGGUUAAUCUCCCUGGAGUGAAAUCUUUCCACUAUUCGGAUUCUUCUCUAUACAUUGACAUGUGAAUGUGUAGCAUUAAGAAAAGCAAUUGACACAUCAUGUUAAUAGAAUUGCGAACAAAGUAAUACAAGUGAAUUGUAAAAUUCAAGCAUAGAUAAAUGAGUUUGCAACAAAUCUCAAAAUUAAAAAAUUUCACUAUUUAGUGAAUAAGUGCAAGAAAUAUGAUGGUUACCUCUAAAUCUUCAAAUAUCAACAUCCAAAUUGAACCAGAUGCAUUUGAGCCAGCAAUACUAGGUAAUAAUUAUAGAUGGAUAUUCAAAUCUAAAUAUUUGAAAUGGUCCAUAAUUUUUGACCAAAUAAUAAAAACAUUGCUGCAAAGGAUAAACGCCAUUCAAUCCUUUUGUAUAUUAUGAAACAAUACAAAAAUGCAGUACAAACAUUUAAAAAAAACAACAACAUACAAGUAUCAGGUGUUUCCAUAUUAAGUUAAAUGCUGCUGACAGACACUGUAACCCCUUAAUCCUUAUUUUCGAAAGCUGAAUAACAAAAUAAGAUAUAUAUGUAAGAUAUGUUAGUGCAACUAUUUAUAUAUUCUUAAAUACAAGUUCUUUUGCUUAACAAAUUACACAUUGAUCGUCACUGCAUUCACUCAUUAAAAAAGCUAUGUUAAUUUUCUUUAAGGCGCUAAAAUAUAAUUUAAGCCAAUACUUAAUUUUACUUUUUUUUUUAAAACCAGUGUAUUUUCAAGUGUGUUUGAAUGACAAUGACUAUGAAUUUACUAAACAGCGAGCUGGGAUGAAUAAACAACUAACUGACAUCAUUUAGGUAAAAAAAAGCCAAAUUGAGCUUAAGAAUUUUGGCCUACAUAGUCCAAGCUGGUUAUAGGGUUCUCAGUAUAGCCAACUGUAAAAACAAAAUAUGGAGGUUUAUUCACUAAAGUUAAAUUAUAGUGAAAUAAUAACAAAAUAGCAAACAUUCCAAAUCAGCACUUUUUACCUAAAUUAUGCAGUUUAGUUUUCAGCUCACCACAUUUUUUAGGGAUAAAACCCAUGUUGUCACAAGCAAAAUGUCAUCACAUGUUUCUGUCCCUAAAUCCUGGUAUGUAAGCUAGGUUUACUAUUGCCUGCCACUUUACCCCAUACCCUUUGAAUUUGCAAGAGGUUUAAUAAUUUACUGCUUGAAACGUACUGGUGAGGACACUUGUUUUAAAUAAUAAUAUAUCUGAAAGAUAUUUCAAGUAGCUGUGAAUUUUUGCCUCCAUUAUGUAAUCUCUUUAUGAUAUGACAUCAAAGACUGUUCAAUAUUGACAUGUUAGCAAGGGCCACUUACUGAGGUAAUUGGCAGGAAUUCAACGUGAAUUUAAAAUUUGAAGUCAAAAUGGCUGAAUUAAAAACAUAGCUUUUCCAAUUCAGCUAUUUUGGCCUACAGUUAUAAAUUCAGUUUGAAUUUCAGACAAUUCACAAUACAGUGAUUAUCUCUGUGUAAGAUAUUACCAGAAAUAGGAGUUUCUGGAGAAAUGUUAAAAAAUUGAGCUACACGCAUUAAUAGACUUGAUAAUUGCUCCACAAUUAUGUUACUACAUAUUCCUCAAAUAUCCUUUGCAUCAUACACUCUAUAUCUAAGUUUGACUUUAUGCAUAAUUCUAAUGUAAGAACUAAAUUUACAUAACAAAUACACCUUUAACCUCCCACCAGACUCAUAUAAAAAUGAUAAUUCUCAUAAAAUACAUUGUCAUUUAAAACACACUUCUUUAGAGAGUUUGAAUCGAUAAUUUCAAUAUCUUGUCAAUGUUGUAAAAUAAUGCUCAAGAGAACCUGUGAAAAAGAAAAUUAUUGAUAUACACACACACACAUAUCUCCAUAUAUGUGUAUAUAAAUAAUAUUUUUAUAUACAUACAAAGUGAGUCAAAAGUCAGUAAGCAAUUUUCCAAACCACCUAUUAUUUACUGAAUAAGCUGUUUAAUGGCAGGUAAUAAAUCGAAUAAUCUACCAUUAAAAAAAUCUAGAGGUGUAUGGGCCAUUCCUGACUAUAACUCACCAUUUGUCUAAAUAACCAUAAAGCUCACUAUAUAUAUAUAUAGAUAUAUACAUAUGUGUGUGUAUACUACUUCAUAUUAUUCUUCAUUUGUGCAAAGAUCAUCACUAUUUCU